AUUGAACGCUGGCGGCAUGCCUUACACAUGCAAGUCGAGCGGCAGCGCGUCCGACCACCCUCGGGUGGUCGGAUGGCGGCGAGCGGCGGACGGUGAGGAAUGCAUCGGAAUCUGCCUCGUUGUGGGGGAUAACGUAGGGAAACUUACGCUAAAGUACCGCAUACGGACCUACGGGGUGAAAGUGGGGGACCUUCGGGCCUCACGCGAUGAGAUGAGCCGAUGCCGGAUUAGCUAGUUGGCGGGGUAAAGGCCCACCAAGGCGACGAUCUUUAGCUGGUCUGAGAGGAUGAUCAGCCAGACUGGGACUGAGAACGGCCCAGACUCCUACGGGAGGCAGCAGUAGGGAAUUUUCACAAUGGGCGAAAGCCUGAUGGAGCAACGCCGCGUGCAGGAUGAAUG
rnacentral:rRNA from 1 species